rnacentral:misc_RNA from 1 species
AUCCUAUGCUGCUUGUUGCGUUGGUAAGUAAAGUCUCAAAAGAACUCUCUUAUUUCCUCCGGUCUUAUCAAUUAUCAUAUUAAAUUUGAUAGUUUUGCAUGUACUUUGAGGCUAUUCAUUUUAAUACUUUUCUCUUUCAGAAUGCUAUAUUAAAUCAGAAACUGCAGCUUUUCAAAUUUCAAAUGGAUUGUGAAUUUUUUUUUCUUUUGAUUUUUUUCUUCUUUCUUUCACUCAGGAACGCCAGAGUUCAUGGCUCCAGAGGUGUACGAAGAGGAAUACAAUGAAUUAGUUG